GGAUGGUACAACAUCAAUUAGUACUAUAUUGUUUAUUGAUAUAGAUGUAGAGAGUUUUCCUCCCUAUAUAUAUACCAACCCUUUUGCAAAGCACCCCACAACUAUUGUCAGAGAAGUCCCUAGUUUGGCAAGUCUCUCGUGUAGUAAAUUAAAAUUAUCUUUUACUAUCAAUGUCACCGGCGCAGUCAACCAGCCAUAACUGGAGUUCAAUCGAUCCGUACCUCAUCAUCAUCAUGUUCUCACUAUGGAUCCUUAUUGAUCGUGUGAUGACUUGCAACGGGCCAUGUCGUCAGCUCCGAGGCCACUCGAGAACCCUCAUCAUGGAAAGAUUAAGCCAUGAUAGUCUCCUCUAAGUCCAGCCGUCAUCCCUAUCACAUAUAUAUCUUGGCUCACCAUCGUCCAGCUAUCGUUCUUGCCGAACUGCAUCUUAACAGCGACCAGAGCAGCACCGUAUGCUGACCUGCAUGCGACUUUCUUCCAUAUUUUCAACGACCAAGUAAACUACCAAAGGCCAAGGCCAUUCGUGCGUGCCAGCGUACGUGUAUGGCAAGCAGGACAGAGCAACACGUCCACCUGCAUAUGCGUAUUAAAUCCUUUUGGUGUGUGUUUGCCGCCAGUCAUCUACGCACUUUCAAUACAUGCAUCCUUUC